AAAGCUUAAAGUGGAUUCUUUAAUCACAAUUUUUUUUUCCUGAUUCUUUAAUCACAGCCCAAAAGCAUAUGCUCAAACCGAAAUAACCAAACAAAUUAAAACUCAACUAGUUGGUUCAGUUCACAUAUUUUAAAACUUUGGUUUCAGUUUUUUCAUUUUUGGUUCAGAACCAAACCAACCGUUUGCACGCCGCUUCCACUAUAUCAGGACCCUUUUGAUGUUGUACAAAAGCUGUUACUUGACAUAUAACUUAGCACUUGAAAUGCUACUUCUAGUAGAAGUGGUAGACUUAUUCCAAGUAUUUGUGCUCCUUUAUGAUGAAGAUUGAAAUAAAACCCUAUUUCACCUAGAAAUUAAU
rnacentral:misc_RNA from 1 species